AAAUACUAUCACCAUUUUGUUAUACGCAACAGUGAACCGUAUCAAUUUAUCGGUCCCAUGAAAAUGAAAAAAAAAACAACAUACAGAAUUAGCCAUGUACUACAAAUUGCUUGAUUUAACAACACGUCCACAUACUGCUUCUCCGCGUUACUGUGGCCAGCCAUGUGGUUUCCAUGUAUUCUGCGAAUGCCCCCACGCCCAUGUGGUUUCAGAGAAACUGAAGAAAUUCUCGGAUACAGACCACUCAUUUCACCUACCAAUUUUCCUGAGAGCGUACGUGGAUCACAUUUUUCAAAACAAAGCAAAUAAAUCAAAAACUCCCACUCAUUGUUUGUGACAACUUGUGCAUCUUUCUUGACUAUCAAAUGACCACGUGUUUCAUUGUCUUGUGAACAAGUUUUUUAAAUUUGGAAAAUUAAUUCUGACUUUAAUUUUUACGCGAUUUUGACUUUAAUCAUAAAUAACUAGACAUUUGCGAAGGGUAAAUAAAUACUUGUUAAAUUAUUAUGGUUUCAGUCGGAUAUUCAGUUAAUUUCAAAUUAUUUUUUUUAAUAGUAGCAUGUUAAAUU
rnacentral:lncRNA from 1 species